rnacentral:rRNA from 1 species
AUACGUAUGUCGCAAGCGUUAUCCGGAUUUAUUGGGCGUAAAGCGCGUCUAGGCGGCUUAGUAAGUCUGAUGUGAAAAUGCGGGGCUCAACCCCGUAUUGCGUUGGAAACUGCUAAACUAGAGUACUGGAGAGGUAGGCGGAACUACAAGUGUAGAGGUGAAAUUCGUAGAUAUUUGUAGGAAUGCCGAUGGGGAAGCCAGCCUACUGGACAGAUACUGACGCUAAAGCGCGAAAGCGUGGGUAGCAAACAGGAUUAGAUACCCUGGUAGUCCACGCCGUAAACGAUGAUUACUAGGUGUUGGGGGUCGAACCUCAGCGCCCAAGCUAACGCGAUAAGUAAUCCGCCUGAGGAGUACGUACGCAAGUAUGAAACUCAAAGGAAUUGACGGGG